ACCUCUUCCCAUUCCGAACAGAGCAGUUAAGCCCGCCAUCGCCGAUGGUACUGCAAUGCAAUGCGGGAGAGUAGGCAGCCGCCGUUU
rnacentral:rRNA from 1 species